CCAUGCCUACGGGGCGCAGCAGUAGGGAAUCUUCCACAAUGGGCGAAAGCCUGAUGGAGCAACGCCGCGUGGGUGAAGAAGGUCUUCGGAUCGUAAAACCCUGUUGUUAGAGAAGAAAGUGCGUGAGAGUAACUGUUCACGUUUCGACGGUAUCUAACCAGAAAGCCACGGCUAACUACGUGCCAGCAGCCGCGGUAAUACGUAGGUGGCAAGCGUUAUCCGGAUUUAUUGUGCGUAAAGGGAACGCAGGCGGUCUUUUAAGUCUGCUGUGAAAGCCUUCGGCUUAACCGGAGUAGGGCAUUGGG
rnacentral:rRNA from 1 species